UACGUAGGGUGCAAGCGUUAUCCGGAAUUAUUGGGCGUAAAGAGCUCGUAGGCGGUUUGUCGCGUCUGCUGUGAAAACCCGAGGCUCAACCUCGGGCCUGCAGUGGGUACGGGCAGACUAGAGUGCGGUAGGGGAGAUUGGAAUUCCUGGUGUAGCGGUGGAAUGCGCAGAUAUCAGGAGGAACACCGAUGGCGAAGGCAGAUCUCUGGGCCGUGACUGACGCUGAGGAGCGAAAGCGUGGGGAGCGAACAGG
rnacentral:rRNA from 1 species